rnacentral:misc_RNA from 1 species
GAUGAAGAACGUAGCGAAAUGCGAUACUUGGUGUGAAUUGCAGAAUCCCGUGAACUAUCGAGUCUUUGAACGCAAGUUGCGCCCGAAGCCAUUAGGCCGAGGGCACGCCUGCCUGGGCGUCACACGUCGUUGCCCCCCCAUCUACUCCUUCGGGAUUGCGGGGGGCGGAUGAUGGCCUCCCGUGCGCCUCGCCGCGCGGUUGGCAUAAAUGCCAAGUCCUCGGCGACGCACGCCACGACAAUCGGUGGUUGCGAAACCUCGGUUGCCCGUCGUGUGCGGUCGUCGCGCAUCGAGGGCUCGAAAAAAUUGCCGGGUUCCGGCUCGGCUUUCAACGCGACCCCAGGUCAGGCGGGGUUACCCGCUGAAUUUAAGCAUAUCAAUAAGCGGAGGA